AUUAACGUCACCGGCGUUAAUUUCAAGCCCUCAGAGUUCACUGCGCACGUUAAAUCAAACAACAUUGAACGAUAUAAUUUAUACCCGGUUUGUUUAAACAAUAGUGACCGUUAUAAAGUCGCCCGGGUGAUUUUAACGGGUCUAGAAACAACCGGAAACGGACAAAGUUACAGACUUCUAUUAACGAAAGUAUUAACUUUCUCUCAUCUUACUUUGGAGAGUUUUUAAAUGUCUACAAAAGCCUGGAGCGAUAUAAAUGGACGAAAUCUGGAUUUGUGAAUAAUAUUCAGCUUUGGAGUCUACUGGCAAGAGCUACUUGUCUUCACUUGAAGGCUCCUUCUGCUGUCGUUCAAAGUCUUCUUUGCCCUGUGGAGGAAGACGAGGAGGUGAGAGGACGGAGAGGCUUUCAAAGAAACCUCAGGGCCUCACUGUAAGAGAUCCUCUGUGUCCGGACCCACCAGGGGGAUUAAUACGCGUUAGGUGACCUAUAGAAGACAAACCUUCCCUUCACACCUGAACACAAGUUGGAAACCAGGUGGGAGGGAGGGCGGCGGCAUCAUGCCAGACUGCAGCAACUCACCUCAGGCCACCUUGUUAAGCUCCUGUUAAAUCAUUACCACUCUGUGAGGAAAAGAGCACUUAAUACAUCUGUGAAUAAUUCAUCUCGGCUCAAAUCUUUGACACCAUUUAACAGAUUAAAACAAAGAUCUGUGAGGCAGGAAACUCGAUAGCAGUGACGCAAAGUGUGUCGUCUAAUUUCCCACCUUUCUUCUCUCUUCCUGCCACUGUACUUUUCCCCUGGCAGUGUUGCAUAAUGCAGAUAUGUUUAUCAUAAUCAAAGAGCACUCCACAUGGUUACUAUGCUCUCCUUAUCUCGCCAGAGGCAAACAAAGAACUCAGUUUUACGUCAGAGAUCUCCUUCCUAUAUAGACAGCUUGGAAACACUGGUGUUGAUCACAUGUAUUAACACCCACUGAUCGAUCUUCUUGCUCAGGAUGAAAACAGCUAUCACAGAGGCCUGAUCAAAGCUGUUUCUUCCCCUGAGGAACGUUGUUACUCACUGGCCUCUCGCCCAAAACCAUCACCAUCACCCUCGACUGCUCCGGCUCUCUCCACUCCGUCUACUGUGUACUUAACAGGACAAUGACUCAGUUUGGACCAUGACGCAGACACACAGCGUACACCACCCUCCAAUCACAACCACGCCCGGCCAAACAGUGACACCAGGCCCAGUAGAUGCUGACCCAGAGGCAAUAACCUGAGCCAAAACUCUGUUAAACAGCUACUUCACACUUCAGAAAACAGCCACUGCCCUCCAAAAAAGCCCUGAAUCAUCUAAACACUUACACAGUUUUGCUUCCCUAAUAUGGUGAGGCAGCCUUCAGACCAAAGUGGAGGAGAGAUGACGCCCAGCAGCUCGCCAUGUGUUUCACAAAUAAUGUUAGAAGCUCAUUUACAAAGUCGUCGUCCAGUGAGAUAAAGACAUGUCAACUUUAUACAAAACUUGAUCCAAAUCUCUCUCAGACGACGUCAAGCUGUCUAUCACAAAACAAACCUCAGUGACUAACAGAGACAGACACAACUGAGCCUCUGAUUGGCUACAUGCUCAAGUGAAGAGGAAUCUAAAGGCCAUCGAGGAGAUUUCAUCAUUUUAAGUGAAAGCCCCAAAUGAUCUCAGCUAGGAAUGGAAAACAUGAUAAAUGAGUCAACCCCUUUCCCUUUAACAUCUCUUAAGGUUGUAGUGACAGGAUUGUUGCAUUAAUGUGAAGAUGUUUUAGCCUUUUAGCAAAAAAAAAAACCCACACUUUUCAUUUGAAUUAGGUUGUAAUUAAACUCUUUUUUUUAUCACAAUACAUCUUGUAAAGCUGAAACACAAGCCAAUUAAUCAGUUAGCUUAUUUACAGAAACUACUAUUUUGACAGUCAAUCCAUCGGUUUAGUCAUUUUUCCAACAAAAUUUUUUUUUUUUUCAUUUCUACUUUGAGCAUCCCAGUUUUGAGUAUUUGCUGCUUUUCAGAAUCAGAAUCUGAUUUUCUCAUCAAGUAGGUUUUCACUUAAAAGGAUUUUGCUCUUGUGUUCAGUGCUUGUGAUAAACAAUAAGCAAAUAUGACAAUAAGAACUUAUGUAACGUAACAUAAUAAAUGUGUACAAUAUAAAAAUAUAAAUGUUUAAGGAUGAGAGAAAGCUUUUUUUUUAUCUAAUUUGGUCAUAAAAGUUUCUUUGACAUUAUAAACGCUCCCCUGAUUGUCAAACAUUGCCAUUUGCUGACAUUUUAAAAGACCACAGAAUUAACUGAUCAAUCAAGUUAAUAACACAACACAAUGCAGUAUGAUACAGUAAUAAAUAAUGACAAUAGCUGGGACUGGCAACCCAAUUAACUGUUUUGAAUCGAGUUUCAAGAAAAUUGAAUACAUCACAUUAUAUCCAUAUUAUCCAGGCCUAUAUCUUAGAUAAAUAAAACAGUAACCAAGCAAAGUCCAACAGCUACAAGGAAAGGGGUCAUUCAAGAAAAGAGAUCCCAUUCUGCAAAGCCAUAAUGAGGUAUAAUGUGCUUUUUACAACAACUAGGUGGCAACUUGACUCUCAGUGAAAUGUUUUUACUGUGUCUACACUGUGUUUUGGAUACUGGUAGAAGAAUCUGAGCUCGAAUGAUGAAAGGAAACAUGAGAAACUACAUAUUUAUGUGUCUGUUUCUACUUUUUAAAGAGUGGAGUGGAAUAAUUUCCACUAUUUACGCCCCUGUGAUGGCAAUAAAUGUAGCCUAAAGGCAGAUAUUCAAAACAACACAAUU